UAUGUGGAGCUGGGUCAGAAGGACUUUCUUGUGUCAAGUGGUCCUAGCCUACCCCGCCUGCUCCUGUGCUCACCCCCCAACCCAGCUGCCGAAGAGGUAUCAAGACAAAGAACAAAAGUCAGAGGGGGGGAAGGUGAAGGGCUGGGGGUGGGGGGAAAAAAGCCAAGAGCCAUAUCCACUCCUAGGGAUAGGGCACUUUAGCUUUUUCCCCUUUGAAAUUUCAAAUUCCAGUUUGUGGACAAAGUCCUAGCUAUCUCACAAUAUAGAUCCCAACCACUGACCAAACUCCACUCCAAGCAGCCACCUCCACUGGGACUGGCCUGACCUGGCCACUUCUUUCAGUUCCCUGGAACCCCAAAGGGAUCAGCCUCCUCUGGACUCCCCCCUACCUUUGCCUUUCCCUUGAUCAUGAAGGAUUCCCUUGGGCCCACUAGAGCCCACAGCCUCUUUCUCGGAAUUACAGCUGGGGUACACUCACUGACAACCACAAGCAAGAGACAAGGGAAUACAGAGUGAGAAAAAAGUGCUUGAUGAUUGAAGACAUUAAAAAAAAAAAAAAAAAAAAAAACAAAACUGCCAAGAGAGUCACUCACCGGCCAGAAUGAAUGGAGAGGUUUUGGCCCAAGAAUUUCAUCAACUGUGGGGGGCCAUGUUCCCAGAUACAACGAGUAGCCCAGGCUUCAGCUGAUCUUGCUAGCCGUUCAUCCCAGACCUAGCAGUAGGAAUCACAGAGUAACAGAGUUAGAAAGGACACCAAAGGACACCUAUCCAACCUGUGCCUGACAGAAAUCUCCUCUACAAUCUCCUUCUAAUAAUAGGAAGCCCCUUCCUGACAUUAGAGGGAUCUUAUUCCACUUCUAAACAGCUCUGAUGGCCAGAAAAUAAUUUUUCCUUAUGUUGAAUUGUGAAAUCUGCCUCUGCAAGUGGUCCAGCCCCUUUUUCAAUCAAUCAGUUAAUCAACAAGGCUUUACUAAGUAUCUUCUAAUUGGGUCAGGCCUUGUGCUAGGUGAUGGGGAUAUGAAUGAAGCCAGAAAUGAAAUGGCCUUCUAUAGACAGAAUUUUGUAUUUAUAUCAAAUGUAAAAUAUAUAUAAAUACAUGGAAAUUCAAGGAGGACCACACUAGCAACAAGGGGAGAAAUGGAUCAGGAAAGAAGAUGCCACUCAGGAGUUGGCACUUCAGUUUUGAAGGAAGCCAAAGACUCUAAGAAAAAAAACCAUAAUAAAAUAAUUGAAAAUAA